AACGAACGCUGGCGGCAGGCUUAACACAUGCAAGUCGAGCGCCCCGCAAGGGGAGCGGCAGACGGGUGAGUAACGCGUGGGAAUCUACCCAUCUCUACGGAAUAACGCAUGGAAACGUGUGCUAAUACCGUAUACGUCCUUCGGGAGAAAGAUUUAUCGGAGAUGGAUGAGCCCGCGGUGGAUUAGCUAGUUGGUGGGGGAAAGGCCUACCAAGGCGACGAUCCAUAGCUGGUCUGAGAGGAUGAUCAGCCACACUGGGACGGAGACACGGCCCAGACUCCGACGGGAGGCAGCAGUGGGGAAUAUUGGACAAUGGGCGCAAGCCUGAUCCAGCCAUGCCGCGUGAGUGAUGAAGGCCCUAGGGUUGUAAAGCUCUUUCACCGGUGAAGAUAAUGACGGUAACCGGAGAAGAAGCCCCGGCUAACUUCGUGCCAGCCGCCGCGGUAAAAC
rnacentral:rRNA from 1 species